rnacentral:rRNA from 1 species
UACGGAGGGGGCUAGCGUUGUUCGGAAUUACUGGGCGUAAAGCGCGCGUAGGCGGCUUUGUAAGUUAGAGGUGAAAGCCCGGAGCUCAACUCCGGAACUGCCUUUAAGACUGCAUCGCUAGAACGAUGGAGAGGUGAGCGGAAUUCCGAGUGUAGAGGUGAAAUUCGUAGAUAUUCGGAAGAACACCAGUGGCGAAGGCGACUCACUGGACAUCUGUUGACGCUGAGGUGCGAAAGCGUGGGGAGCAAACAGG